AAAAAAAUUAUCAUCCAUGAAAAAUGUUUAGAUAUAAAUUGUUAUUGAUAAUAAAAAGAUUUUAUCAACUCACGAUUUCAAGCGAUAAAAAAAUUAUUUACAGGAAUUUUUUUUCCAAAUUUUUUUUUCCACGAAACAAACGUAUUAAAUUUUAAGAUUACAUAAAAGAACUAAAGAUUCUUCAUGAUUUAGGGCGUGCGUGCGCACACAUAUAUAUGUGCACGUUUAAAGUCAGAACUCGAAGAAUAUUUAUUUCUAUGCUCGCCAUGUAAAAGUCAACUUUGUUUACAUUGUUACCACGUGGCAUAAGUUUGCCACAUUGUCUAUAUUCGACUAAUUAACAUUUGUUUAUUG
rnacentral:lncRNA from 1 species